GACGAACGCUGGCGGCGUGCUUAACACAUGCAAGUCGAACGGAAAGGCCCUGCUUUUGUGGGGUGCUCGAGUGGCGAACGGGUGAGUAACACGUGAGUAACCUGCCCUUGACUUUGGGAUAACUUCAGGAAACUGGGGCUAAUACCGGAUAUGAGCUCCUGCUGCAUGGUGGGGGUUGGAAAGUUUCGGCGGUUGGGGAUGGACUCGCGGCUUAUCAGCUUGUUGGUGGGGGAGUGGCUUACCAAGGCUUUGACGGGUAGCCGGCCUGAGAGGGUGACCGGCCACAUUGGGACUGAGAUACGGCCCAGACUCCUACGGGGGGCAGCAGUGGGGAAUAUUGCACAAUGGGCGGAAGCCUGAUGCAGCAACGCCGCGUGCGGGAUGACGGCCUUCGGGUUGUAAACCGCUUUCGCCUGUGACGAAGCGUGAGUGACGGUAAUGGGUAAAGAAGCACCGGCUAACUACGUG
rnacentral:rRNA from 1 species